rnacentral:snRNA from 1 species
GUGCUCGAUUCAGCAGCACAUAUACUAAAAUUGGAACGAUACAGAGAAGAUUAACAUGGCCCCUGCGCAAGGAUGACACGCAAAUUUGUGAAGCGUUCCAUAUUUUU